GCACAAGCGGUGGAGCAUGUGGUUAAUUCGAAGCAACGCGAAGAACCUUACCAGGUCUUGACAUCCCUGACAACCCGAGAGAUCGGGCGUUCCCCUUCGGGGGACAGGGUGACAGGUGGUGCAUGGUUGUCGUCAGCUCGUGUCGUGAGAUGUUGGGUUAAGUCCCGCAACGAGCGCAACCCUCGACCUUAGUUGCCAGCAUUCAGUUGGGCACUCUAAGGUGACUGCCGGCUAAAAGUCGGAGGAAGGUGGGGGAUGACGUCAAAUCAUCAUGCCCCUUAUGACCUGGGCUACACACGUGCUACAAUGGGCGGUACAAAGGGUCGCGAACCCGCGAGGGGGAGCCAAUCCCAAAAAGCCGCUCUCAGUUCGGAUUGCAGGCUGCAACUCGCCUGCAUGAAGCCGGAAUCGCUAGUAAUCGCGGAUCAGCAUGCCGCGGUGAAUACGUUCCCGGGCCCU
rnacentral:rRNA from 1 species